rnacentral:lncRNA from 1 species
GAUAACUUAGAUUGUUCGUCCGCGUAUAUAUGCUCUUGUUUUCGUUUGGAUUGUAAUCAGACUCUCCGUUCUGUUUCACUUUUCCGAUCGAUCGAUAGUAGAGGUUAGCGUAGGAGGUGAUGUAGAUCUGUAACUGCAUGAAAUCGAGAACUGAUCUGCGUUGAUGCUUUCACCUUAGAUGAUACAUGGUUUGUUUUGAGUUUAGUAUUCGUGAAAGACUCUUUUUGAGUUGGAAGGUUUGGUAGAAUCUGUUUCCGUUGUAUCCUAUGGUUAUUGCACAGAUUGAGAAUAAGUUUCAUUGAGUUUGUUAUAUGCUUGAAUGACUCUUCUUCUAGCGCUUAUGGUUUUUGCUUUUGAGUUUUUUAGUGAUAUGGCUGAUAUCAAGGAUGAAGGAACCCCCAAGAGCUCUGCUUCUUCUCCUCUGAGGAAUCCUAAUGUUACCCUUAACGAAAGGAAUUUUGCUGCCUUCACUCACAGAUCAGCUGCUGCUCAUCCUUGGCACGACUUGGAGAUUGGUACCUUAAAUCUUAUUAUUGAUUUAAGUGUCGUUUCUUAUUCUCUGUCUUUGCUUGAAUCUUGUAGGUCCGGAAGCUCCUGCUGUUUUCAACUGUGUAUGCUUUUUUCUCCUUUUGCACUGUGGCAAGAUUAGAUAUUUUCAGAGAGUUAAAACGAAAAUUUAAAUUUGUUUAUCAGGUUGUUGAAAUUAGCAAAGGUGGCAAGGUGAAAUAUGAGCUAGACAAGAACAGUGGCCUUAUUAAGGUACUGCGUGUUCACUUGAUUGAGUUUUGGAACCUGUUGUUUGUUUCUGUGGUUGUAUGUAUCAUUUCAUAUGCAGAGAAGUCUUCCUUUUUAUAGUAUUAAAUCACUGAAAAGUUUUUUUUUUCUCAUAAGGUUGAUCGUGUCCUGUACUCAUCCAUUGUGUACCCACACAACUACGGCUUCAUUCCUCGAACCAUUUGUGAAGAUAGUGAUCCUAUAGAUGUCCUGGUACUCAUGCAGGUGCUCUCUCUCACCUUUCAUUAGCUUCAAUUGUUCAUGCAAACUUGACAUAAAGAAACAAACUUAAGGCAACUGAUAAUUAUUGUGUAGGAGCCUGUGCUAACUGGAUCGUUCCUCCGUGCCCGUGCUAUUGGGUUAAUGCCCAUGAUUGAUCAGGUAAUAAUCACCUAAAACCCAAAUCUCUAUCUUCUCCUUCUCUACAUUAGUAAGAAACCAUGGAAUCUACUUGCAGGGUGAAAAAGACGACAAGAUCAUCGCAGUGUGUGCUGAUGAUCCCGAGUUCCGUCAUUACAGAGACAUCAAAGAGCUUCCUCCUCACCGUCUAGCUGAAAUUCGCCGCUUCUUCGAGGAUUGUAUCCACAAUAUAACAUCAUAUUCUGUUUCUGGCUUAUGCUUUGUUCUAAGUUUUCACUUAACAGAAAAAAAAAUUAGACAAGAAGAACGAGAACAAGAAAGUGGACGUUGAAGGUUUCCUCCCCGCUCAAGCUGCCAUAGACGCGAUUAAAGACUCCAUGUAAGUUUGUUUGCUCCAAACUAGAACUGAUCUGCGUUGAUGCUUUCACCUUAGAUGAUACAUGGUUUGUUUUGAGUUUAGUAUUCGUGAAAGACUCUUUUUGAGUUGGAAGGUUUGGUAGAAUCUGUUUCCGUUGUAUCCUAUGGUUAUUGCACAGAUUGAGA